CAUUCUUAAAAACAUGCACCUUGCUUUAGUAAUGUUUAUUAGGAAUUUCCUGAAUAAAGUGAUUUAACAGAUUUCUUGAAGUGCAAGAGACAUGAACAUGAGCAAAAAUGUCACACUUCACAUAUAGCCCAUGUCUUGCAUUCAUGCUUACAGAGCAUUGCUCCUUUAGUAGGAGUGAAGGCAAAUGAAGAUGGACAAUAAAUAAAAGAGAAGCACACUCCUGAUAAUGCUGACAUUGAUACAUUGAGUUGUUGUUGACAACAUAAUCACCUGAUCUGGGACUUGAUGCUAUCCUGUUCUUUAAAUCCUUAUCCCUGAUUACUGCUUAAUCAGACUUUAGAGAACCCAAAGGAAAAAGGCAGUAGUCUUAUGUAAGACAGCUUUUUAAAACCUGAACCGUUGGACCACCUGUAGUGUGUCGUACUCUCACACCUCUGGCUAGAGAUGUGACAUACUCCCAGUGCUGGGAAACUCAUACGCCCCUUAGACAUAACUUUGCUCUACUCAACACUCAUUCCCUGGACAAUAAAGGUACACUUCUGAAUGACAUUAUCAUCGAAAGAAAGUUGGACAUACUACUACUCACUGAAACCUGUAAAUUACUUAAUGACUUUAUUAUGGCGCUUAACUUGUUGACUCCUCCUGGAUACUGCCAUCUGUCUAAACCACGUCUCACUGGCAGAGGCGGUGGCCUGGCAGCGGUGAUUAAGAACAACUAAAAGACUGUCAACGUCGACUUUCAUGCUGUUGUUAGCUUUGAAUACCUGUCAUUUAGAAUUGCUGGUCCCACACCACUCUUGAAUUUGCUGAUCUACAGACCUCCUAAACAUCAUGCAAACUUUCUCUCUGAUCUCUCUGAGUUGCUCACUAUUGCUUGUGCUCAUUAUAACAAUAUUAUUAUGCUCAGUGAUUUUAAUAUUCAUGUGGAUUCUGACUGUACUUCUGCUAAAAGCUUUAUGGCUAUAUUGGACUUUUGAUUUAACACAGCACAUUGAUUUUCCUACACAUUACCAUUCUCAUACCCUUGACUUAAUCUGCUCCGUUGGUAUUAAUAAUGUUUGUGUCCAGGGUCUCGAAGUUGGCAUAUCUGACCAUAAACUCAUUGACUUUAGUUUUUCUCUCCCCCUUGCUAAACCGAAAAUCAAAUCUACAAUAUCUUAUCGAAACCUGAAAAACAUAAACACUGACAAUUUCUCUAUUGCUACUGCUGCUUCCUCUUUGCCUCUCUCUCUUGUCCUGGUGAGAUUCUCUCAUUAUAUAAUGAAGCUACAUCUAAUGUCUUGGAGGCUCUGGCUCCAUUAAAGACCAGAACUGUCCCCUCAGCUCAUUCUUCCCCUUGGUUCACCCCGUAGCUCAGAUUAAUGAAAGCGAAGGCUAGACAUCUUGAACGCCUCUAUAAGAAGACUUGUCUUCCUGUUCAUGCUACAUAUAUAUCACAAUAUAAAAAUGCAGUAUAAAAACACUGCACGCGCUACUUACUUGUCUACUAUUAUGAACAGAGCAAAGUGUAAACCCAGGACCCUAUUUUCAGAGAUCAACAAACUUGUUAAACCACCAUCACCACUUCUUAAUGGUUCUUCUGAUCUUUGUGAAAAAUUUCUGACAUUUUUUACACAUAAAAUUGACAAUAUCUAUCACAUCUUUUUCUUCUUUCGUUCCUCCAGAAACUUCUACUUUCCAGAUACUCUACCCACUCUCUAACUUUACUUUCACCAUACAUCUGUGGUUGAACAGCUGAUUAUGAACUCUAACUCCUCUACCUGUCAGCUAGAUUUGCUUGCAGUACCCAAGUUCUGUCUAUCUACUGUGGGUAGUAGGGCUUUCAGCAUUUCAGCUUCCAAGCUCUAGAACAAACUACCACAAAAACUUUGUGUUGUCUCUUCACUUCAGACCUUUAAAAACUGCUCUCAAAACUCACUUAUUCACAUUAUGUUUCUGUUAAUUGAUUGUUUGCCUCAAUUUUUCAGCUCUAUGCCUGCUUUUGUAACUUCUCUUGUAUAUUAACUAUCCUUGGGGUCAUGAAUGCAUAAACUGUUCUGCAUUUGUCAUUGAGAGUAUAUGUCAUAAUUUGGAUAUGUUUUUAAGAUGGAAGAAUGCAGUUUUACAGAUGCUAGAAACAUGGCUUUCAAAUUAAAGAUUGGUAUCAAAGAGCA